UCCGGCGUUUCUUCAUUUUUGAACACAACAUAGUUGUGACGGGUAGUGUCAAGGGGUUGAGCUGACGUCAUCAAUGAGCGGCCUAUUUUACGGGCCGUCUCCCGUUCUCUAGCAGUCCGCUGAGAGGAGAGUAACAGGUUUUGCCGGCCGAGUGGAGCCCCGUCGGACGUCGUUGGGGAGGGUUUAGCUCCUCAGCCUUUCCAGGUGGCGCACAAACUGCUGUUUUGCCGUAUCCGGGUACGAGUAGUGAUUAGCGAUUGUAAACAGCUGAUAUCCAUUGUAUGCGUCCCGCGCUCCGGUUUUGUUUCGGGUACUUGCCUACUGUUGUUUUUAUUUAUUUCGAGCGGGGGAUGCCCGAUGUGUGGAGGAAUAGCGUGGGUAUUUUCUUAGAUCAGAUUUUAGCAUGUGGCGUGAUAUUGCAUGAACUGUUUUUAACGCACUUUGUUUUGACUGUGUGUGUGUGUGUGUGUGUGUGUGUGUGUGUGUGUGUGUGUGUGUGUGUGUGUGUGUGUGUUGCGCGGUGUGUGUGUUGCGCGGUGCGUGUGUUGCGCGGUUGCACAGGUGAUUAGAUGAACUGGGGGAUUCGCUGUGUCCACAGUGACGCUCGCCGUAUUUAGCGACCCGGGCAAGUACACAGAUUGUUCGUGAUAAGCUGUCAGCCAAAUUAGAAUAGGUUUACGGUGUUUGUUUUUUACUGCUGUACUAAUAAAUUAUUGUUUUGUACCACAA